rnacentral:lncRNA from 7 species
AACGGAGUGCUUUGGAGAGAUUAAAUCAGUGUAUACAGCUGCGAGGGAGGCCAUUAGGAAAUACAUUCUCAUUCUGGGUUACUGUUAUUUUGUUUGCCACUACGCUCUUGUCAAAUCUAUCAACUACCUGUGUUCUCCUCGCCAUAAAUAAGAGAUGUCACUUCGCCAGGAAAAGCUGAAUGUUGAAGAGCAGAGCUGUGCAAAGGCCAGAGCGAUCCAUCUACAGGACAAACACUGCAGCUCUUAGCAAAUCUGCAUCUACCACAGCUUAAGGGUGGGAACAGUCAGCAUACCUGCAGUACAUCUGAAUUCCUGUAGCACUGUGUUGAAUUCUCCUCCUUGUCCCAUCCACCAGGUCUUUUUCCUCUAAAUCUGUAAUCCCCUGAAAUCAUCAGAUGAGCCAUUUUUCUCUUAUAUUCCUUAUUCAAGACUGCAGAGAGCUCCCUGAAGAGCACAAGGAGCCUGAAAUGCAUUGGGCUUGUGGCUCAGGAUCACAUGCCAACCAGUUCCCCAUGCUCCACAUCCAUCCCCAGUGAAGGAGACAGAAAGAGGAUCCUGAUUCAACUUUCUUAGACUUACAACUCCCUUAAAGUUCGGGGUCUGCCUGUGUGGGACGCAGAGAAAGUCUGCAGGAGCUGAAAAUCUAUUUCUCACCAAAUGAGGCCAUAGCACUUGUGAUAAGGGAAGAAUGAAACACCAUUCCCCAACAAUGAGCCAAUUAACUGUAUGCAAGCUAAAUGAACUUGGCAUCAGCAAUAUUUGGGCAGAGCCAUACGCCGCUCCCCAAACAGACCAGCGCUGUUUGCUAUGGAACGCAGCCCCCAUGCAAAGCAUUUGCUGGAGAACAGAUCAGGGACUGCAAGGCUGUUUGAAAUGUCAGCAGCUCAGCUUCUCCAGAAGAAAUGCCACAUUUCAAAGAAAAGGCAAUUUAGAGGUAUUCUGCCAGUGGCUCUGUUUGUAUGAACUCAGGUGCAACAAAUGCAGCACACUGCAAUGGACAGAAAUCCUUAUGUUAUACUGCACUUCCUCUAAUGCACUGGCAGGCAACUUCUCUAUUUUUUUCCUUUUUUUUUUUUUUUUUUUUCUCAUCAAACAAUUACUGAUGUGCAUAUUAAUUUUAGAAAGCCUUGAGAAUAGGUCAGUCUUCCUUUGCACCUAAGAAAUGAAAUCAGUAUCACUCAGUGCAAACCCACAUGCUGUGCAGCUCUCCCACGGUCACGAGAAGCACGGUGGGCUGUAGGACAGAAGGGAGAAUGAAGGAAAAACACUUCCCCAGAACAGACACUCACAAAAAGUACUGAUUUAUGAAUGCAACACUUGGAAAGUGUUGAGCAUGC